UCACUGGCGAGAUCGAGAAAAUGUAUCGGCAAUUCCUCGUACGACCAGAGGAUCGGAAAUAUCAAAGGAUAUUAUGGCGCAGCGCGAGUGGAGAAACAGAAACAUAUGAGCUUAACACCGUAAUACUCUUAUCAUAGAAAUAGAAGCAGUCCUCAAUUCCCGCCCGCUAACUCCUAUCUCCACCGAUCCAAAUGAUCUCCUAGCCCUCACUCCCGGACAUUUCCUCAUUGGCGAUUCAUUAAUGUGCUUACGUGAUCGAGAUUUCAGAGACAUUCCAUCGAACCGACUCUCCAAAUGGCAGCAUAUCCAACAGCUUAAACAACAUUUUUGGAACCGCUGGCAUAAGGAGUAUUUGAACGAGCUAACCAACCGCAAUAAAUGGAGCAAGGGUGGACACAGCAUCCAAAAGGGCACAAUCGUCAUCCUCAGAGAGGACAACGUUCCCUCCAUGCAUUGGCCUCUGGGCCGAGUUAUCAAGGUUCAUUCAGGCGCCGAUGGUGUCAUCCGGACAGCUACAGUUCAGACGGCAAAGAGCAUUUUGGAUCGGGGCGUCAAAAGGCUUGUCCCACUGCCAAUUCAACCCGAUCUCGAGAAACCCGAACAACUAGCCACCGAGCCGAAAUAAGAUGGGAACUUCAACCACACCUCGCUAGUUUGAUCGGUACCCUCUCAACGGGGGGAGAAUGUUACGCCAUGCGGCUUACCAUAGGUCAUAUUCUUAACUAUCGAUCGCGGCACUAUAAUGUCGCAGACGGAUCGUCGCGUCUGCCCGGCAAACAAACAUUGUAGUGGCAAGCGCAUGGUUCAUUAAGCAGGGCGACUUCCAGAAACGUCGACUCGUGGCCCGUAUUUUACCUCGCAGUAAAAGAAUGUGGCGUGAUCCGAACGUAGUGGGGGUCGCCUUCCAGAAAAAACGAAAAAAAUCGAAAGGCGUUCAGAACUUUUCGAGAAGUCGAACCGUCAACACAUGUGGGCAAUCCGGUGGACUUGAUCGGCUUUUUACUUCGAAAGUUGAGUAAUCGGUGUCGCUUUCUUACGCAUCUUUGAACUGUAUAAAUGUUUUAAAAUUGUUUGAUCCAGAAUGUACCACACCGGACAAUCAAGAAGGCAGGUGCCUUGACUACAGAAAAUGUAAACCUCUGCAAGAAAUAUGGCAGAUACAGUACCGUACAGCCACCGAUUUUUAUAGACGAUCAGUGUGCAGAUACCAGGUCAAUGUUACGAUCGUUUGCUGUCCGAACGAUCCAAACAAAGAGAAGAGAGAAAUUUUAAUAAAAACUGUGUAUAAGUAUAAGGCUUUGCGACCACCAUACUGUGGUUUUAGCAACGUCUCUCAUACCAGGGUGGUCGAUGGUAAACCAGCUGAACUUGGAAGAGUAUCUUUUUGCUUGAAAUAAAAAAUUGAUAUAGGAGUAAUAAUAUGGAUAGAGAUCAAAAACUGUUAGGGCAGAAAUUACACGUUUGAACUUUAUAGUUCAGUAUAGUUCAAAUAGAAAUUAUAUAGAAUUAUUUAAUAAUUUGUAUUCCACUGGAAUAAAAAUUUAAUUUCUGUCUUUAUCAAAUCUCUAUUUCAGAGUAUUUGUACGUAUGUACUUAUCGUCUGCUGUAUGAUCGAAUAUCGAAUAGGUAAUAAUCGUUGUUACUCGUUAUGUGAGAAAAAAUUAUGUAUAUUCACAACUAUGACUAUUGCAUUUUAGGCGCUUGGCCAUGGAUCGCUGCAUUAGGUUUUCGUAAUCCCCGAAACCCAGACAAACCACUAUGGAAGUGCGGAGGUUCCCUGAUAUCGGCUAGGCAUGUUUUGACCGCAGCACAUUGUGCACAUAUGGAUGGAAUAGAAAACAUACACAAUCAUAAUAUUGCCAUUCUUAGAUAGGUGGAGGAGGUGCCAUUUUCGAGUAAGUCCUCAAAUAUAUAUAUAUAUAUGCUAUUGAGUAUUACUGAAGUAUCAUAUCCUGAAAUUUCUUACUGUACACAUAUAUUGUGUCAUAAAGCGUGUACAAUUCUUUCUCAUACUUUUGGUCAUUCGUUUCCUGCAUUUUCAUUUAUUUUUUUAUUUUUCAGGGUACGUAUAUCCCAUUUGUACGAAAGAGCAACUUCGUCGGCUAUAACCCCCUUGUUGCUGGAUGGGGAGCGUUAAGAUAUAGCAAGUGAUAUCAAUUUUAUAAUAAAAUUAAACAGUUCCAGUCUUAAAUAUCUUUCUCAUUUUCUUCGUAGGACGACCACGACCUAAUGCAUUAAUGGAAGUACAAAUGCCAGUGAUUAAGAACGCCGAAUGCAAAAUAGCUUAUUCCAAAUUUCCUAAUGCACCUGAUAUCACUGAUGGUAUAAUAUGCGCCGAACAUGCUCAGGGUGGAGAGGAUUCUUGUACGGUAUUGUGUCUUAUGCUUAUAAGUGUGGCACAGCUGGGUAUCCCAGCGUUUACACUAGGGUCACAUCGUACCUUGACUUCAUUCUCCAAGCGAUGCAAUAAUAUGAUAUUACUGUUCCAUAAAUAUCAUUGUGUAAAAAACGUAAAGUUGGAUUUUCUUAUUGUGGAGAUAAGAAACAGCUCAAAUUUACAUUGUUUUGUACGUUACAAAUUAUAGGCUUAAAAUGUACGAAAUGUAACUUUGAAACGACACUAAUUUUUUACGCACGAUAAACCUCCACGACUUAGAUUAUAGAUUCCUAUACGACUCUCAGUAAAAAUUUAUCCGCACUCCAGAUAUAUAAAACUUCUGUCGACCGUAUUGAUCCAUCUGCACUCUUCGUAUGACGUCAAUAUCUGUUCAGUGCUGCUGCGCAGGUUUCUUUGUGUUACGUCAAUUCGUUUGUGACCGUUGCGCGAGUAAUGGCGCUUUGCAAUGGUGAUUUGCAGGAAAACAGUGCAGGAUGCUGUGAUUCGUUUCUUGUGGUCGGAGGUUAUGUUUGAUGCCUAUAUUUAUCAAAGAUUUAAUGCACAUUAUGGAGAAAGUGUUUUGUCACGAAGUGUGUUUGAAUGGGCACAAAAGUUCAAAGAAGAUCGCACAAGUGUUAUGAAAAAACAGCUGGACGCCCGUCCACAUCCACGAUGACAACAUUGAACGUGCUCAUGAACUUAUGCUCUAUGGAAUAGACGAGUGACACUGGAUAAUGUGGCAAAUCAUUUGCAAAUCAGCCACGGCUCUGCUUAUGCAAUAGUGCACGACAGAUUUGGAUUUUAAAAAGUUUGUGCGAGAUGGAUGCCGAAAAAGCUGAUGAAAAGGUGAAGACGACGAUGCAUUCGUGGUUCGCAGCUCAGCCCAAAACAUUUUUUAAUGAGAAAAUAUAAAGGUCCUUCGGCAAAUGGACAAAGUGUAUACAGAAAUCGAGUGAUUAUGUCAAAAAAUGAUGUAUGUCUUUUUUGACAAUUGCUUAAAAUAAAUUCUACACCGACAGAGCGGGCUGUUAAUCUAGAGGCUGGAGUACAAAGAAGUGGCACAAUGAUGUGGGCUGAUGACAUUUAUAAUUAUCAAGGAAUCACCCCUACAUUCGCUCAGAAUUUUAAUGAAACUGUCCCUUGGGAAGGAAGAACUGAUACCUUGAUAUCACGGUUUGUACAUCCUAUAUAUACGACAAAUUUUAGAACAUUAUAUAACGAAGAACCAGAUCGUCGUGGCCAUGUGAUGUGAAUAAAAGGACUUGAAUUUGAUGAUAUUUUUAUAAUGUUAGAUAACAUAACUAAGUAUCUUCACAGUAAGAUAGGAUGACAUGGUUUACAUGAUCUUAAUGUUGUUCACUCGAGUGAUGAUAUUAUAAGGAAAAGUGUAAUAUCACAGGAUAUUUAUGUUUAGUAACCAGUAAUUCAGAGAUUGGUAUUCAUGGUUACUAUAACGAGGCUGUAGAAACGCACCCUUUCUUCUUUGCAAAUGGUCCUGUAUUUAUGUCUAAGCCGAAACUGGAACCUCUGAAUAAUUUAGAUUUAUUCUUGUUAUUUUCUAAAAUACUUAUCUACAGUAUACCAUAAGGAAUGAUACCGUAUCGCACCUAAUCAAGUGCCUUAAGAAACAUCAACAGGAUAUCACAGUAAUCCCUUAUCGACUGAUAUUUGUAGCCACUACAAUAUCUAUGACACUGGUAGUAAUUAUGAGAACAAUAAUGAUGUGUUCUAUAAGAGGAAAUGAUGAUUAGGAACAAAAACUUACAGGAGAUAUCAUGCGGUGGAUGGAUAAUAUGUAAAAAAUAUUAAGCAGCAUAUGAAUUUUCAUAUUGCGUAGAGAUAACAAAAUGAAUUUUAAAAAAUGUCGACACGGUAAUAAGAAAUAGCAUCAUGACAAAGAAUAUAUAAAGACAGUUUCAUUUUUUAUAAAUAAAAAUUUGUUGUUCCAGAUUUUGAAAUACAGCGAAACGUUUAAUUAGUAUCUUAAUAUCUUUAAAUAAUUAUUAUUUUAGAAUCAAUUGUAAUUGUAUCAUACGUACUUUUGAAUUCGUGCAAGAACAUAUGUAAUUUUGAAGUAGUUAUUAUUAGGAAAUUGUUAGACGCGAACAGUAUGCGAAAAGUUAGUAUGCAGUGUAAUAAUUAUCAAUCAAAACACAAGAAUUAAAUUCUUGAGGAAAAAAUUUCCGGAAUUUCUUAUUUACAUGAUUAUAAAGAAAUCCAUAAUAAAAAGGAGCUGCUUUCUAAUA